GGGCGGUUAGCUCAGCGGCGAGAGCGCUACCCUUACAAGGUAGAUGCCGGGGGUUCAAAUCCCUCACCGCCCA
rnacentral:tRNA from 1 species